rnacentral:rRNA from 1 species
GACGAACGCUGACGGCGUGCUUAACACAUGCAAGUCGAGCGGUAAGGCCCUUUCGGGGGUACACGAGCGGCGAACGGGUGAGUAACACGUGGGUGACCUGCCCUCAGCUCUGGGAUAAGCCUGGGAAACCGGGUCUAAUACUGGAUAUGACUCCAUGACGCAUGUUGUGGGGUGGAAAGCCUUGUGCGGCUGAGGAUGGGCCCGCGGCCUAUCAGCUUGUUGGUGGGGUGANGGCCUACUAAGGCGACGACGGGUAGCCGGCCUGAGAGGGCGACCGGCCACACUGGGACUGAGACACGGCCCAGACUCCUACGGGAGGCAGCAGUGGGGAAUCUUGCGCAAUGGGCGAAAGCCUGACGCAGCGACGCCGCGUGAGGGAUGACGGCCUCGGUUGUAAC